rnacentral:misc_RNA from 1 species
AGACCCAGAUGGCUGGAAAACGGUAAGUUUCCUCUGGUAGCUCAUAGGUUCUGAGUAUGGUUGCAUUUGUUCAGGGUCAGGUAUUUUACCUUUGUCAAGUUAAAUCAUAUGCCCAUAGUUCUAUGCUGUAUUAUAUGCUAUUGUAAUUGUCUAUUGAAAUAAAUAUUAACAUGGGAAGGAAAGAGGUGGGUGUGCUAAUUUCUUGUAUGUGUUCAACUCAUGACCUAAAACUAAUUAAUGAAAAAUUAAAAGUGAGAUGAGUGGAAGUGCAUGAUAGGGAUGCUAUCUUUAAGUGUCAAAAAAUUCACCAUUAUUUAAAUGUUAUCCAUUGUACAGAUUGUUGCCUAUUAACUUGUUUGUCUGUUGAAUUAAUAAGUAGACUAGUGUAAGUUUUAUUAUUAAAAUGAUAUAUUGAUUGUGCUAUGGGGAAAAAUCUUUGAAAGAGAGCUUGUACUCAAGUUGAAAAAGAAAAUUGCAUUUUUGUGAAAUAUAAGAAACAGAAGAUAUGAUGAUAUCUAAAACCACAUGGAAGCUUUCAACCAACCAUGCCAAUGAAUCCAUAUCUGUUAUAUGGAGAAAUAGACUGCAAACUUAGCUCAAGAUUGAGCAUAGGCAUACAGUGCAAAGCAUGUUAAUGUCCUUUAGGUAGGCAGAUUUUUUAUAUAUGUUUAUUUGCUGACGAGCUUAUGCUGUUCUGGAUCAUUUCUAUAGGUCCUGGUUGACAAUGAAGACUU